AUGGGUGACCUGAAGGCCCCAGGGGCUGAUGGUAUGCCUGUAGUAUUCUACAAGAGAUUUUGGGGUACGGUGGGGGAAGUAGUGGUGCAAGAAGUCCUCCACGUGUUGCAGGGCGGCAGUAUACCGGAGGGAUGGAAUGAAACUAUUGUUGUACUCAUCCCAAAGGAUCGGAACCCAAAUAGGAUUAAGGAUCUUCGCCCUAUUAGCCUAUGCAACAUGGUGUACAAACUUGUCUCCAAAGUCCUUGCCAACCGGCUCAAGAUGAUCUUGGAUGAGCUCAUUUCGCCUAAUCAGAGUGCUUUCGUCCCAGGGCGUUUGAUCUCGGACAGCACUAUAUUGGCUUACGAAAUGACACAUUUCAUGCGGAGAAAGAGAAGUGGAAAGGAUGUUUAUAUGGCUCUCAAGCUAGACAUGAGCAAAGCUUACGACCCCGUUGAAUGGCCAUUUCUGGAAGGCAUGAUGACACGGAUGGGCUUCACGGAGGAGUUUGUGCAACUUAUAAUGAAGUGCGUAACGACAGUCACCUACCGGUUCAGAGUGAAUGGGGACUUAACUGGAUAUAUUGUUCCUGGUCGUGGGCUGAGACAGGGUGACCCGAUCUCACCAUAUCUCUUUCUCAUCUGUGCUGAGGGAUUUUCAGCAUUACUAAAUCAUGCAGAGGCGGAAGGACGCAUCCGCGGCAUACAGCUUGCUCCAACAGCGCCUCGGGUUAGCCAUCUCCUUUUUGCCGAUGACUCAUUACUGGUCAUGGAAGCCACACUACAAAGUGUACAGGCCAUCAGUGAAAUUCUACAAGUCUAUGAGGAAAGCUCGGGUCAGGUCAUCAAUAGAGAAAAGUCCUCUGUGAUGUUCAGUAGCAAUGCAAAGCAAAGCGCCAAAACCUGUUAUUACAGGAGUUGCAACUUGGUGCUGAAUCAAUGA
rnacentral:rRNA from 1 species